CCCUGCAGGGCCAGCGGCAAGCUCUGCGUCCCUCAGGCGCAGGAAAUCGGUGCUGGUUGAGGCGGCUCCACAGCUUCACCUUCCCCCGCCAUGUUCCGGCGUGGCUCCCUCAGGGCCGGCGCCGCCUCUCCCCGGCCCCGGCGCUGAGCGGCUGCGGCGGCAGGACACGAGCGAGCCUGGACAAAAGCAUGAGGUGACCAAGAUGGUGUGACCAGAAAUGAAGGGUGAUCCUUCAGAAAAAGGCUGCCCAAGCAAGUUUCAAACACCUUUCUGACUUGAAACAGCAGCGGUGUAAGCAGGCUUUGGGGUGUGGCUAAACCCUGUCCGUGUAUUUCCCCCUUCCCCAGGGGCAGCGCUGAGCCGUGCAGGAGCCCCGGAGCAGAUAAUUCCUUGAGCUGCAGAAUGUCUGACAAACAUUGCAACUGAGAACUGGUUGGCAGCAUCCACGUCUGAUGGUUUGGAGGUUCCUAAAACUUGAUCAUCUGUGUUUUCUCUACAUGGUUAAGAAGAAUUUAAAUAAAAAAACUAAAUAAAGAUGCCACCUA